rnacentral:tRNA from 1 species
AUAUCGAUAUUAUAUUUUAGUAUGCCUUCUUUCCAAGUAGGUGGUUUCAUUAGUGAAUCGGUAUA